UACGUAGGGGGCAAGCGUUGUCCGGAAUCAUUGGGCGUAAAGGGCGCGUAGGUGGCCCGGUCAGUCUUUGGUGAAAGCGCGGGGCUCAACCCUGCGUCGGCCAGGGAUACUGCCGCGGCUCGAGCACUGUAGAGGCAGGCGGAAUUCCGGGUGUAGCGGUGGAAUGCGUAGAGAUCCGGAAGAACACCGGUGGCGAAGGCGGCUUCCUGGACCGACACUGACGCUGAGGCGCGAAAGCUAGGGGAGCAAACAGG
rnacentral:rRNA from 1 species